ACGUAUGGUUCAGUCUCAGAGAGGUAACCCGUUGCUCAAGGUUGGCGACUAUACAUUUUGUAAGAAGUUCACAAGCGGAUCUAAAACCAGGCAUAUGUAUGAUCGAAUCUAAGAGAGGGAAGCCGUUGCUCAAGCUUGGCAACUAUACAUUCUAUAAGAGAAUCACAAGAGGAUGGAAAACUGUAUGGUAUUGUUCAACGCAUAUGAAUAAAGGAUGCUGUGCAGCGAUACAUAUGUACAAUGGAGAAAUUUUCAAAAUUACAAACACACAUAAUCAUUAGCCUGAUGUUAAUCAUUGAUGUUAUUGUUUUUUCUACCUAAAGCUGCUGUAUAUUUCUAUUUAAUGUCCUCUAGCCCACGUUGACAAUUACUUCCGCACAAUAUCCCAGGAAGAGGAAAUUACUGAAAACCAGCGCUGGAUGGCGCCAUAGCAUGGCUCCAUCACAGCACAAGCUGAGCCAUUUCCUUUUGCCCGUAUUCGUAAUAUUCAUAAUUAAGUAGUAUAGUCAUGAGCAUUAUAAUGUACCCACUUUAGGACUCUGUCGCACUAACAUAUUUGACAUUUAGUGAGACUUACAGUUCAAUUUGUCUAAAAAGGUACCAAAGUGUAUAUAUAUUAAUGCUCUCGACCGUACUUGUAGCAAAUGAAACUUGUUACUGGCAAUUUUUUUUUUAUUCUUAUUAGCCUAAUGAAAUGAAAUGAGGAUUUAAUAAUGUAUAUAUGUAUUAAUAUUGUAUAUGACUUAAACCAUUUUAAACUACAAUUUGGUUAUACUGUUACAACGUAUAUUCUGUAAAAAAAAAUCUCUCGUCAUCUAACGAUGUAACACUGCGAGGGUAAUAGGCAUUUUCUGUUGGAAGAUAAUAAAAGGAAGCAUUUUUUCUGAGGCUUUGCUCUAAUUG